UUGUUUCAAAAAUAAAAGCAUUUAAACAAUAAAAUGAGAAACAAAUAAACCAGCAACAGGAUUUUGAUUUCCUCAUUUUUCCAUCUGAUGUUGUGAUGGUUGGAAAUGGAAACAAGGCAACACAAAAAAGGAACUGUUGGCACGAGGAGAUGACAAAACGCAACGAGGAAGGUCAAGAGCGCCUGGCAGCACCAGCUCAUCCUCAGCCCCGCGGGGCUCGGGACAACACAUGCUCACGCCCCGUGUCUGUAAUCCAACACCUGAGAGACGACGAGUGGAAAAGCAACCAAAAAAUCACGUCAUCAAUCAAAACACCAAGAAGUUUCCUAUCUGUUGAGACCCGACGAGGUCCUCCGUUCUCAAACAUCCCGAUGUGGACUGUGAGUUAUCCUUCAGAUGAUAACUGAAACCCUGGACUCUGAACUUUCCCCAAAUGUUUUUGGAAAUUCUCAGAGAAGGAUCCAAACUUCCCAGGGACAUAGAAGCUACCACUGCAGCUGGGAUUUCAUUUUAAUAAUAAAACAAUGCAACCAGACACUUCUCUCUGACUUUUCCACUCGGUAGAACUGUUAUUGUUACACUAUGGUGAUUCUCCUGCUCUUUUCUGAACGUUGAAAACUCAAUUACAGCAAUUUCAACAAACUUGGAAUCAAAACGUUCAGCUUGUUCAGGACUAUGGGAAGUUCUUGGAUCAACAGAGGAAUCCGUUUGAUUGCAAAAGGUUUGGUAUUUCAACCUCACUUCCCUUCAUUUUCCUUGAAACCUAAAGAACUCCGCUCACAAUAGGUCAGGGAUAUUGAUAUUUACACGAGUGCUUUUCCUGUUUGCUCUGAAUUUUAAUGGAAUAUAUAAAAGUUCCUUUUGAUAUUACUAAUAAAGAAUGAAAAGAAAAACUUUUUUCAUUAGUUUGAUAUUUAUUACCCCAAAAAUGAAGACAACAACAGUUGUUGAAAAAGUUUUUCAGGUGUGCCGUGGGAAAUUAUUCAUUUUUAAUUAUCUAAAAACAUUUUUUUAUCACCAGAAGAUCAUCUCUGUUUUCAUCCAAACAGACCCUGAUAAAACACUGAAUAGUUAGGAACACGAAAGACCAUAAAAUACUUUUAUUUGUGUUUAUUUGAUUCCAAUAAAGACUUUUUGAUAAGAAUGACAGUCCUGCAAGUUAGCCACAGCUAGCUGUUUUUUGGAAAACAACUGUCUCCACCAAUCAUUCAUGGAGGCUUAAUCAUGUGAUCAGCCUGACCAAUCAAAAGUUGUUCACAUCCUCACUUUUUUGGCUCAUAAAGUCUUACAGUUCCAACAAAAAUAACAGCUGAAGCUCGUGUUUAGCGGUUUAGCUUCCCGCCAGAUCCGGUGUCAGAAUGUGGAAAAAGUGAACAAAAUAACGAAGCUCAGUGUCAGUUUUUGCACUGCAUCUCCCAUAAUGCACUGGGUUAAAGUGACAGCACUUCGGCACUAUGAU